AUGUGUGACGUGGGUAUCUUUUUUUUUUUAAGUUUUAUUUAUUCAUUUGAAAGGUGGAGAGACAGAUUCUUCAUCUGCUGGCUCACUCCCCAAAUGGCUGCAACGGCCAGAGCUGGGCCAGGCCAGAGCCAGGAGCCAGGCGCUCCAUCCUGGUCUCCCACGUGGGUGGCCAGGGCCCAGGUACUUGGGCACCUGCUGCUUUCCCAGGCGCAUCAGCAGGGAGCUGGGUGGAAAGCAGAGUGUCCGGGGCUUGAACCGCACUCCACUGCGGGAUGCCGGUGCCACAAGAGGCAGCUUAACCUGCCGUGCCGCGCGCGGUGCCGGCCCCAGGGCGCUGCGUCCUACCUGCUUGGCCAAAGGCUGCCCGGGCACUCAGGGCUCCCGGGACUCGCUGUGCAUCCACCACACAACAAGCGCUCUCCCUGUCUCGCGGAGGGAGCUGAGGCUUGCCAAGGACGGGCCCUGAUCCGAGGUGCAGCCAGCGGCUCCAGGUGCUGCUGGUGCAUUUGUGCCGUGGGUUUGUUUGCUUCUGCGCUCUGUUCCUCACCCGCUGCAGCGGCCCGGGGGCCGGCGAUUCACUGCUGCUCUCGGUGUCGCCCGUUUUUAUGUUGUAAUACCGAGAUUCUCAAACGUACCGCAGGAUGGAAAGAGCAGUGCGCCGGCCCACAGCUUCCUUUUUUAAGGUUUCUUUAUUUGAAAGGCAGAAUGAGAGAUCUUCUAUCUGCUGGUUUGCUCUCUAAAUGGUUGCAACCACAGGGACUGACCCAGGCUGAAGCCAGGAGCCUGGGAUCCUCCCCGGCCUCCCACGUGGGAGCAGGACCCCAGGCACUGGGGCCACCCUCCGCUGCUUUCCCAGGCCAUUGGCAGGGAUUGGAAGUGGAGCAGCCGGGUCUCACAUUGGCGCCCAUAUGGGAUCCCGGCACUGCAGGCCGUGGCUUAACCCGCUGUGCCGCAACACAAGCUCUUACCCAUUUUCUUUGUAUUUCCAAGCAGAUAAAUUGGGGAUAUAAAUAUGUACACACGGGGCCCGCGUUUGGAUGCAGGUGAUCUCGGCAUCCUAUAUAGGUGCCAGUUUAAGCCCCUGCUGCUCCACUUCCAGUCCAGCCCCCACCCCCACCCCGCUAAUGGCCUGGGAAAGCAGCAAAGGGUGGCCCUAGUGCUGGGGCCCUGCACCCAGGCAGAAGACCCAGAAGAAGCUGCUGGCUCCUGGUUUCAGCCUGGACCAGCCCCGGCCAAUGGCCGUUUAGGGAGUGAACAAGCGGAUGGAAGAUCUCUCUCUCUCUCUCUCUCUCUCUCUCUCUCUCUCUCUCUUUUCUGCCUUUCAAAUAAAUAACAACAUAUUUUAAAGGAAAAAAAUACA
rnacentral:lncRNA from 1 species